rnacentral:misc_RNA from 1 species
GACUACUGGCAGGAUCAACCAGGUAGCAUUCACUUUUAGACCUCAUCGCAUCCCCAAGGACGAGCGCGGAGCGGAAGGGCUCCGCGAGCUCCGAGGGAAGCACGAGGGUCACCCGAGCGGAAGCAAAGCGCUUCGACACGUCGAGAUCGCACGGCCAACGAUGGACCGCCCGACAGCAAGAGGUAUCGGUACCCGAGAGCACGCGGACGGCAACGACGCACCGACGCGAUCGGAUACGCCCAGGAGAUGGACGACCGACCGGUAGGAGAGCGCCGACGCCCGCACGAUAUCUCCCAGCGCACGAGAUGCGGUGGAGAGACGAGGGAAACGAGACGGGGACGACAACGUGUCCGUUUACCGCAACCGGGUAUCUAACGCAGGAACCCAACCACCGCCCGCAACCGACUCUCGGGGCGGGCGACCAAAUGAAACGGAUAGGGCCACAGCAGUUCGGUGCCCGAAGCACGGAGCCUGCCGGGGGAGCAUAUCCUGUUUGCCACUCAUGCGUCGUCCCAACGCUGCCCGAGAGGACGCCCGACGACGCGACGCCGCCUCUCUCAAAGGAGGGAGGAGGAGCCGGACGGAAGGGACGCGCCACGGGCAAGCCUGCUAA